rnacentral:rRNA from 1 species
UACAGAGGCCUCGAGCGUUAGGCGGAAUCACUGGGCUUAAAGCGUGUGUAGGCGGAUUGGUAAGUACCUUGUGAAAUCCCACAGCUUAACUGUGGAACUGCUCGGUAUACUGCUGAUCUUGAGCCACUCAGGGGCUACCGGAACAAAUGGUGGAGCGGUGAAAUGCGUAGAUAAUCGAUUUGGAACGCCAAUGGUGAAAACAGGUAGCUGGGGGUGUGACUGACGCUGGAGACACGAAAGCCAGGGGAGCAAACAGG